rnacentral:lncRNA from 1 species
AGCUGGGCGAUGCACUCGUUAAUCCGGUCACGUCUCUUUUUCUCGAUGAGCCGGUGCGGCAAUUUGUAGGUCUCCUGCAAGACGCACGGGGAGGCGGUGGGCGCUUGGGGAAGGAGAUGAGAAGCCUAUCCUCCCAGCCCCGCAGCAACAGUCCGGCAGAGGAGCAGAGUAGCAGAGUAGCACCCAGAACCAUCGUCUGCCCUUUCUUUUCCAAGUCACUCAGAAGAGGCACCGAGCCCACACCCUGCAUCCCCUCGCCAACCUCAAAGCGAGAAAACUUUUCUUGGAAACUCAGCGCGCGCGAGGGGCUGAGCGCAGGGUCCCUAGGGGUGCACUUGCUUACCUUGCUGUCCUCGCUCCGCUUUAUUCCCCGUCUUGACUUGUACACUUGGUACAUGUGGGCAGGGUACAUCCUGCAGGAAGAGAGACCAGGAAGGGUCGUGACUGCUUGCGCACGGCUGCAGGCGUUCUGCCGGGCAAGAACCUCCCGGUGCGCCCGGAGCUGCUCCAAGUUGAGAGUGGCGCAUAACAUGGGGCUGCAGUUGAGGCUUGAAGGGCCAAGGAGUGCCAACUUACCCUGGUAGGUCUCCGUGCUCCAGUCCCGGUGCUUUGGGCAGGCAGGCGGGGGGUGGUUGCGCGCUGGGGAUCCGCUCCAUGGCGCGGCGAGCCGGGGCCACUGCGCGCUCCUGUCUGCACUAGCGGAGCGUCUGGAUGAGGACUGCCCUGGAGAGGGCUUCGGGGGUCUCUCCGCAGAUGUUCCUCUGAGUCUGAGCUCUUUGAAAUCCCCUGGGCUGCUGGAAUCUUCGGCUUUGAGAUGCAGCUUCAGUUGGGGGCGUGCAUGGCCCGGUGUCCCCGCGGCCUCUGGCUCCGACUCAGCGCACAGACUGGCGGUGUGUGCUCCCUGCGCGGUCUGUCUGCGCCGUGCGAGCCAAGUGAAUGAGAAGUGGGGCGGGCGGGGAGGCGGGAGGGAGCGGGUGAGGGGGGGGCGGUUAGGGCGGAGUGGGGGGGUGGGGGGGCAAGCCGAGGAGUAAUGGAGAGGCUGCGGGCUGGGUUAAAUGGGAGCGAGUGGGUGGGUUGGAGCUACGUGUUCUACCCUGUGACUCCAGGCACGUCUGGCCACUGCCGGGGAGGGAAGGAGCGACCUGCCCGCCCUCCCCCGGCUUCAUCACAUGAGUCUCACGUGUUGGACAACGCUCCGGCGGCUGCUAGGGAGCCCCCACCCCCAGCCCCGGCCCCCAGGUGUCUGCGGCUGCGGCCGCCUUUCCCCGAAGAGGGGGUGGCAGCACGACCUGGGUCCUGCCCAGUUGGGUGGGGGGCGCGGAAGCUGGAAGGGACGGGGGUGCUGGGGGAGGGGGAGAAGUUGGUAACGUGGGCGAACCUGCCCCAGGGAAAUGAAGUAAGUUCCCGUCUCCUGGGAGGGAACGGGGGAGGACGGAUCCGCCCGCGUCUGACUCAAGCCGGGAGAGGAAUAUCCCCUUGCUAGCUCCAGCCCAGCCCUCUUCCUCCUCCCCCGCCCGGCCCGCUUGGAGGAACCGGCGCGCUGCGGAGGGAGUCGCCCGGCCCCCCAGCCUUCCCCAGAGGCUGGGGUUUCUUUCCGUCCUGGCUUCCCUGCCCCCACUGCUCACCCUCGCGUCCAGGAAUUGCCCGCCUUGGGGAGGGACCGAGGGGCGGGGCGGAUGUCACCCCAUGGGAAGCGGGCCGACGGCCAAGCGCAGGGGCAGCUGAGGCUGCCGCCGAGCACGCCGCGCGCACCUGACCGUGGAGGGUGUGAGCCGAGGGCCCCUCGCUCCCAGGAGCUCCGCUCCUGGGCACAACCUGCGGGCGGGCGGGCACCCGGUUGCGCAGCCCCCUGGGUGCCCCAGUGUCACCCCCUUCCUCCCGGCCAGUCAAGCGCAGAAAGAUACCGGGCGCUGUGCCCGGCGCUCCCUCCCUCCUCUGCCCCCUCCGGAGCAGAGGCGCCCCGGUCGCCUCCCCUCCGGCUGCAGCGUUACACAACCGCGGCGGCGGCGCCUGCCCUGCAGCAGCGCAGGGCGUGACGCUUCACGUGGCCGGGCUCAGGUCGUAGCACCGCGGACCGCGAGCCUCUCUGCGUUGACCCAGGGACUGAGACCCCGGGGACGUGGCGUGCCAGCCCGGAUCGGCCCUCUCCCUGCCUGUUGGGAAGUUCGGCGGCGCUGUUCGCGGUCUGCACCCAGGGCAGGAGGGAUGAGAGAGACAAGAAAAAAAAACCGCCUGUUACAGGGAAAUCUUAGCAAUCAUGCGGUCGACACGUAUUUCUUGAGCCCCCUGCUCUGCACUAGGCGCUGCACUAGUUGAUGAAUCCGACACGGAUCCUGCCCUUGAACUUGCAGAACCUCUAGGAAGAGGUUAAAUUGAGCAAUAAAGGAAAGGCAGCCCUGGGAAAAUUGUAUCGAGGCCACUGGCUGACAGAGGGGAAAAACAAUGAGAACUUGUGUUGCUUUGUGUUUUGUUUUUAAUUUCAUUGUAACCGAGAUGCCUAGGUAGAGAAGCGGGGGAGAAGCUAACCCAAAGCCCCAAGCCCGGGGCGGAAGGACCUCCUCCAGCGGCCCCAGAUCUCUGCAAUCUCACUUAGGCUGCCGGAGGGCCCCACCCACCUCCCCCGGAAAGGUCCGGGCUCUGUGACCUUCUCACUCAGCCGGGAGCAGGGAAAACAGCUGAAACUCCAAUCCCGCGGUGUGAGCAGCGCUGAUACAGUCAGAGGAGGGAGCCAGUGGAAACUCAUGACUAAAAUAAGGCCUGGCUGGGGAUUUCACUGACCUCUGCGCUCCCCUGCCCUGCAAGUUCGGGGAGUUGAGAGAUGACUGUAAGCCCUUCCCACUGCGCUUCGGGUCAGUCACCCCACUGCUGAGUGACCUGGCUGUGGGAAGGAUUGAAAAAAAAAUGGGGUCACUGCCGAGACUGGGCGAAGAGUAGUAGCCUCGGGUGCAGUUAGGGGAUCAGUCUUAACUGGCAGUGCCCUUGACGACCUAGAGAACUGGCAUUCACAAGUUGACCAAACUGGCAGUGUAUUUCCUUCAGGUCGCCUUGGAGAGCUCCCGCUUCCUGUUUAUAUUUCACAAGCGUCAAACUCUUUAGCAAGUGUGAGAAAUGCCUCCUUUUCUAACUGCUAACUGGCAUGACCUCACUUCGGGGCUCAGAGAUCCCUCCCUGCCAGAAUGUACUUUUGCUGGCCAAAGGCGGGGACCGGGGUCCGCCCUGGAAACGCGCUUUCAAUCUUGGGCGACCUGCUUCAUUGUGUGAUUUUAAUAAGGAUGAAGGGCUGUCACGGCUGCGUCAAAACCACGGUUCCAGCAGGAAAUAAGCACUGGGAGAGGACAGGACACGUACCCCCUUCCGCCGACACCCCCCACCCGAUGGCAGGAGGGAGCCCAAACCUUGCAGCUUCCAUGGCUCAUGGCUCAUGACAAUAUCAUUCUUAAAAUUCUUUGAGUUUAUCAAUACGUUUUGCCCUUACCUGCCCUACAACUGUAAAUAACAAAAUGUAUGCAUUUCCUACUUUUUAUUUGUUCCGAAUGUAUUCUCAAGCUUCAAGAACGGUUCCCAUCCUACCAGACUUCCACCGUAUCAGGAUUAAAAAACAAAACAAAACUCUGUUAUUCUCUCCAUAGCUUAUGGCUUUUAAAAAAUAAUAAUUUGAACAAACAAUUCCUACGUGGCAUAGAUCUUUCCAUCCUGGAGAAUGUUACUAUUUCAGUCUGUCAUCUUUUGUAGAUAUUAAAAACCUUUCGUAUGUCAAUUUCUUUGCUCCUCACCACCACCUUUUAGGCAGGUACUAGUAUUAGCUCGAUGCAUUUGACACGUGUUUAUUGUUAUUCAAUGCCAGACACUGAAAUAGGCCCUAGGGAUGUAUAACAUAUUCUGUUUGGAAAAUUGAGGCUCAAGGAGGCUAAAUAACCUGCCCCAGGUUAUAUAGUCUGGGAUUCAGUCUGAGACAGGCCCCCAGGUUUGUUGGACUCCAAAGCUUGUGCUCUUAAUCACUAUACUUACGGUUGCCUGGUAGGGUUGUUUGGGUUGUGCACCGCUCAACUCCAGGGGGAGCUAUUCACAUUGCAGUCUGUGUGAGAGCACCCUCUGGAGUUGUGCAAUGUGGCACUGAGCAGCUGCACUGGGUAAUCCUGCCAUUUUGUAGCCGUCCCUGCUGUUUUGUCUCUUCUAAGUGGGGAGAGAACAUAAUUUCGUACAAGAGAAAGAUGGGAUCUUUCUCUUCUUUCCUAUUGGGACUCAGCAUCUUGGUGGCCUUACACUGUGUGCUGAAUGAGUCUAUACUGUUACUAUCUAUAGUAACUCCCGGGCCCUUCCUGUGCAAGAAUUUAGAGCCCCAAGCUCCCCUAUACAUCCCCACAACUUGCUUGCUCAGAUAUCACUUUUUACCUGCUUAUGAAGCCUCAAAAAUUUUUAUCUCAGCUCACGGUAAGAAAUACAUUUUACAUCAUGUCUCAAUACACACACGUAUGUCUUUACACACAUCUUAAGUAUAUUUAAGCAUAGGGCAGCCAAAGCUUGGUUGGGCUAUAGCAAUAAGUGACCGCUACCCUCUCUCCUAUACUCCUGAGUAACCAUUGCUCUCUUAAAAAAGAAAAAAGAAAAAAUUGAGCCACUUAGAAAGAAGUCAAUCAGGCCGAGUGUGGUGGCUCAUGCCUGUAAUCCCAGCACUUUGGGAGGCCAAGGCGGGCGGAUCGUCUGAGGUCAGGAGUUCGAGACCAGUCUGGCCAACAUGGUAAAACCCCAGCUUUACUAAAAAUACCAAAAAUCAGCCGGACAUAGUGACGGGCACCUGUUAUCCCAGCUACUUAGGAGGCUGAGAUAGGAGAACUGCUUGAACCCAAGAGGCAGAGGUUGUAGUGAGUGAGCCGAGAUCACACCAUUGCACUCCACCUUGGGCAACAAGAGCAAAACUCCGUCUCAGGAAAAAAAAAAAAAAAAAAAAAGUCAAUCCAAUGCAUUUCAGACAAAAAUUUCACAGAACAAUAUUUCACUGUUAUUAUAUACAUUCUGAUACUUUCCAGUUUAGUCUCAUCUGUUUUAUUAAAAGUAUUCAGGUCAUGACUUACUAAGUUGAUCUCACCACUCACCAAUGGAUCAUGACCUGAAAUUUAAAAACUUGCCUGUGGGGCACAGUGGCUCACGCCUGUAAUCCUAGCACUUUGGGAGGCCAAAUCAGGUGGAUCAUGAGGUCAGGAGUUCAAGACCAGCCUAGCAAAUAUGGUAAAACCCCAUCUCUACUAAGAAAAUUAAAAAAUUAGCUGGGCAUGGUGGUGCACGCCUGUAGUCCCAGCUACUUGGAAGGCUGAGGCAGGAGAAUCGCUUGAACCAAGGAGGCAGAGGUUGCAUUGAGCCGAGAUCAUGCCACUGUACUCCAGCCUGGGCGACAGGGUGAGACUCCGUCUCAAAAUAAAUAAAAAAUAAAAACUUGCCUUACUCUAGAGAUAGUGUUGUAUUUUUGGCUUGGCCCCACCAGAAAGAGAUCAGUGGCAUCUGCACACUUGAAGAUCUUCCAAAUAACUUAUAAAAAUGUUAAAUAAAAUUGCUGAUUCUGGUUGGACUCAAUGGUAUAGAGGUCUCCAUUCAGGAAAACAUCUGUUAAUUCCUACCUUUGUUCCCUAUUUAUAAUCAACCUUCUCAUUUUCUGCUCUUUUAAAAAAUAACGGCAUUUAAUUCUUUAAUUGAGAGGUAAACAUAAAAUGCAGAUCUUAAAUGUUUGGUGUAUUAUUUUUGGUAAAUGUACACCUAUGUAGCCACUGCCCCACACAAGAUACAGAACACUUUUAUCACCCCAGAAAGUUUCUUUAUAUAUCAUUUUCCAAUCAAUCCCCCAACCCCCACAAUUACUUUCUGAUUUCUAUCACUAUAGAUUAACUUUGUCCAUUAUUGAGAUUCGUAUAAAUGAAUGUACUCUUCAAAGUUUCUGUCAAUAUAGUUUUGAGAUCCUACCAUAUUAGCACAUGUAUUAGAAUUUUGUUCUUUUUUAUUGCUGAGUGUAUUUCAUCAUACACAUAUAGCACAGUUUAUCUAGUUCCCUGUUAAUGGAUAUUCAGGUUGUUUCCAGUUUGGGGCUGUUAUGAAUGAAGCUGCUAUCAACAUUCAUGUUCAAGUUCUUUUGUGAACGUAUGUUCUCAUUUAUGUUGGAUAAAUAUUAGGAGUGGAAUUCUUGGGUCACAGAUUAAAUAUAUGUGAACUUUAUUAUAAAUUGCCAAACAGAUCUCCAAAGAGGUGUUACCAUUUUACAAUACCACCAACAAUGUAUGAGAAUUCCAGCUGCUCCACAACCUUACUAACGUUUAGGGUAGACAGAUUUUUAAAUUUUAGCCAUUCUAAUGGGUAUGAAAUAAUAUUUUAUUGUCAUUUUAAUUUGCAUUACCCUGAUAAUGAAGUUGAGCACUCUUUCAUAUGCUUAUUGGCCAUUGGUAUAUCUUAUUUUCUGAAGUAUUUGUCCACAUCUUUUGCUUAGUUUUUAAAUUGGAUUACUUACCUUUAUAAUUGUUGUAUAUGGAAAUACAAUCCAAUUUUCUAUAUUGACCUCGUAUCCUGCAACUUUGCCAUUAUAUUGUUGACUUUUAGGAGUUCCUUAUAUAUUCUAAUUACAAGUGCUUUGUCAGAAACACGAUUUUAUUAAUGAUGUCCUUUAUGAGUAGAAUUUUUAGUUUUGGUAGAGUCCAAUCUAUCAGUAUUUUCUUUUACAGCUUGUGCGUGGGUCUUUAUCAAAAAAUUUUGCAUGACUCAAGUCAGAAAGAUACUAUGUUUUUCUCUAGAAACUUUAUAGAUAAGAUUUUUGUACUUAGGUCUGUGAUCUGUCUCAAAGUAAUUUUUUGUUUAUGGAGUGAAAGAAGAGUCAAGAUUCAGUUUUAUGUUCCAGCAAUACUUAACAAGACUUUCCCUUCCCAAUCGGAUUUACUUCACCACUUUGUUGAAAAUCAAUCAACCAUAUCCGUGUGGUUCUAUUUAUAUACUUUCUGUUUUGUUUCGUUGGUCUGUUUGUCUAGGUUUCACCAAUACCACACUAUCUUGAUUACUGGAGCUUUACAGAAAUCUUAAAAUUGGAUGGUGUAAAUCUUCUAACUUCGUUCUUUUUAAAGAUUGUUUUGGCACGCCUGUAAUGCCAGCUCUUUGGGAGACUGAGGUGGGCAGAUCACAUGAGGUGAGGAGUGUGAGACCAGCCUGGCCAACAUAGUAAAACCCCGUCUCUGCUAAAAAUACAAAAAUUAGUCGGUCAUGGUGGUGGGCACCUGUAAUCCCAGCUACUCAGGAGGCUGAGGCAGGAGAAUCGCUUGAACCCAGGAGGCGGAGGCUGCAGUCAGCCAAGAUCACACCACUGCACUCCAGCCUGAGUGAGAUCAUCUAAAAAAAAAAGAUUGUUUUGACUAUUUUGGGUUCUUUGCAUUACCAUAUAAAUUUUAGAUUCAGCUUUUUUCUUUCUUCAAAGAAGCUUGCUAGAAUUUCUAUGGGAAUUGCAUCAUACCUAUAGAUCAGCUUAGGAAAAAUGAACAUUUAAACAAUAUUAUGCCUUCUUAUCUAUGAAUAUGGUAUAGCUUUACAUUUUUUUUUAUGAUGUCAUCUUCAUUUCUUUCAGCAAUAUUUGUAGUUUUCUAUGGAGAGGUCUUACACAUCUUUUGUUAGAUCUGUUCCUAGCUAUUUGAUUUUUUUAAAUAUGCCUGUAAAUUUUAAAACAUUUCCCAAUUGUUUAUUGAGUGUAUAUAGAAAUGCAGUCAAUUUUUGUAUCUAUAACCUUGCUAAAUUCAUUUAUUAGUUUGAGUAGUAUUUUUGGUAGGGUUCUUCACAUACGCAAACAUGUUGUUUGUGAACAAUGACAGCUUUACUUCUUUUCUGAUCUUUUAAAUUUCUUUUUCGCCUUAAUACUUUAUCAGGAUAAUGCUGGUCUUAUAAAACAAGUUGAGAAAUAUUACUUCUUUUCUGAAGGAGCUUGUGUAGGAUUGGUAAUAUUUCUUCCUUAAAUGGAGAAGCCACCUGAGCCUGAAGUUUUCUUUGGGGGAAAGAUUUUUACUAUGAGUAUAAUUCCAUUAACAGAUAUUAGGCUAUUUAGUUUUUAAUUUCUUCUUUCAUUAGUUUUGUUCAUUUGUGUUUUUUAAGAAAUUUGUCUAUUUCACUUAAAUUUGCCAAUAUAUUGGUAUAAAGUUUUAUCAGUUUCAAAGUUUAUAGUCAGUAGUAAUAAACCCCUUCUCACUCCUUUUAAAAGUUUUUGUUAAUGUAUGUAUUUUUCUUGAUUAUCUUGCCAAGGGGCCUAUCAAUUUUAUUACACUUUACAAAGAUCGAAAUUUUGAUAUUAUUGAUUUUCUCUAUUGUUUGUUCAUCUUAUAUUUCAUUAAUUUUCUCUUUUUUUCUUUUUUUUUUUUUUUUACUUAUUUUGGAUUUAAUUUGCUCUACUUUUUCUGGUUUCUUGUGAUGCAAGGUAAUGUGAUUUUAAACUUUUCUUCUUGUUACUUACUUUUUUAUUUUUUAUUAUACUUUAAGUUCUAGGGUACGUGUGCACAACGUGCAGGUUUGUUACAUAUAUAUACAUGCGCCAGGUUGGUGUGCUGCACCCAUUAACUCGUCAUUUACAUUAGGUAUUUCUCCUAAUACUAUCCCUCCCCACUCCCCCCACCCCACAACAGGCCCCAGUGUGUGAUGUUCCCUGCCCUGCGUCCGUGUGUUCUAAUUCAAUUCCCACCUAUGAGUGAGAACAUGCGGUGUUUGGUUUUUUGUCCUUGCGAUAGUUUGCUGAGAAUGAUGGUUUCCAGCUUCGUCCAUGUCCCUACAAAGGACAUGAACUCAUCAUUUUUUAUGGCUGCAUAGUAUUCCAUGAUGUAUAUGUGCCACAUUUUCUUAAUCCAGUCUAUCAUUGCUGGACAUUUGGAUUGGUUCCAAGUCUUUGCUAUUGUGAAUAGUGCCUCAGUAGACAUAUGCAUGCAUGUGUCUUUAUAGCAGCAUGAUGUAUAAUCCUUUGGGUAUAUACCCAGUAAUGGGAUGGCUGGGUCAAAUGGUAUUUCUAGUUCUAGAUCCCUGAGGAAUCGCCACACCGACUUCCACAAUGGUUGAACUAGUUUACAGUCCCACCAACAGUGUAAAAGUGUUCCUAUUUCUUCACAUCCUCUCCAGCACCUGUUGUUUCCUGACUUUUUAAUGAUCGCCAUUCUAACUGGUGUGAGAUGGUAUCUCAUUGUGGUUUUGAUUUGCAUUUCUCUGAUGGCCAGUGAUGAUGAGAAUUUUUUCAUGGGUCUUUUGGCUACAUGAAUGUCUUCUUUUGAGAAGUGUCUGUUCUAUCCUUCGCACACUUUUUGAUGGGGUUGUUUGUUUUUUUCUUGUAAAUUUGUUUGAGUUCAUUGUAGAUUCUGGAUAUUAGCCCUUUGUCAGAUGAGUAGAUUGCAAAAAUUUUCUCCCCUUCUGUAGGUUGCCUAUUCACUCUGAUGGUAGUUUCUUUUGCUGUGCAGAAGCUCUUUAGUUUAAUUAGAUCCCAUUUGUCAAUUUUGGCUUUUGUUGCCAUUGCUUUUGGUGUUUUAGACAUGAAGUUCUUGCCCAUGCCUAUGUCCUGAAUGGUAUUGCCUAGGUUUCCUUCGACGGUCUUUAUGGUUUUAGGUCUAACAUGUAAGUCUUUAAUCCAUCUUGAAUUAAUUUUUGUAUAAAGUGAAAGGAAAGGAUCCAGUUUCAGCUUUCUACAUAUGGCUAGCCAGUUUUCCCAGCACCAUUUAUUAAAUAAGGAAUCCCUUCCCCAUUGCUUGUUUUUGUCAGGUUUGUCAGAGAUCAGAUAGUUGUAGAUAUGUGGCAUUAUUUCUGAGGGCUCUGUUCUGUUCCAUUGGUCUAUAUCUCUGUUUUGGUACCAGUACCAUGCUGUUUUGGUUACUGUAGCCUUGUAGUAUAGUUUGAAGUCAGGUAGCGUGAUGCCUCCAGCUUUGCCCUUUUUGCUUAGGAUUGUCUUGGCAAUGCGGGCUCUUUUUUGGUUCCAUAUGAACUUUAAAGUAGUUUUUUCCAAUUCUGUGAAGAAAGUCAUUGGUAGCUUUAUAGGGAUGGCACUGAAUCUCUAAAUUACCUUGGGCAGUAUGGCCAUUUUCACGAUAUUGAUUCUUCCUUCCCAUGAGCAUGGAAUGUUCUUCCAUUUGUUUGUAUCCUCUUUUAUUUCACUGAGCAGUGGUUUGUGGUUCUCCUUGAAGAGGUCCUUCACAUCCCUUGUAAGUUGGAUUCCUAGGUAUUUUAUUCUCUUUGAAGCAAUUGUGAAUGGCAGUUCACUCAUGAUUUGGCUCUCUGUUUGUCUGUUAUUAGUGUAUAAGAAUGCUGGUGAUUUUUGCACAUUGAUUUUGUAUCCUAAGACUUUGCUGAAGUUGUUUAUCAGCUUAAGGAGAUUUUGGGCUGAGAUGAUGGGGUUUUCUAAAAAUACAAUCAUGUCAUCUGCAAACAGGGACAAUUUGACUUCCUCUUUUCCUAAUUGAAUACCCUUUAUUUCCUUCUCCUGCCUAAUUGCCCUGGCCAGAACUUCCAACACCAUGUUGAAUAGGAGUGGUGAGAGAGGGCAUCCCUGUCUUGUGCCAGUUUUCAAAGGGAAUGCUUCCAGUUUUUGCCCAUUCAGUAUGAUAUUGGCUGUGGGUUUGUCAUAGUUAGCUCUCAUUAUUUUGAGAUAUGUCCAAUCAAUACCUAGUUUAUUGAGAGUUUUUAGCCUGAAGGGCUGUUGAAUUUUGUCAAAAGGCCUUUUCUGCAUCUAUUGAGAUAAUCAUGUGGUUUUUGUCUUUGGUUCUGUUUAUAUGACGGGUUACGUUUAUUGAUUUGCGUAUGUUGAGCCAGCCUUGCAUCCCAGGGAUGAAGCCAACUUGAUCAUGGUGGAUAAGCUUUUUGAUGUGCUGCUGGAUUUGGUUUGCCAGUAUUUUAUUGAGGAUUUUUGCAUCAAUGUUCGUCAGGGAUAUUGGUCUAAAAUUCUCUUUUUUGGUUGUGUCUCUGCCAGGCUUCGGUAUCAAGAUGAUGCUGGCCUCAUAAAAUGAGUUAGGGAGGAUUCCUCUUUUUCUAUUGAUUGGAAUAGUUUCAGUAGGAAUGGUACCAGCUCCUUUUUGUACCUCUGGUAGAAUUCGGCUGUGAAUCCUUCUGGUCCUGGACUUUUUUUGGUUGGUAGGCUCUUAAUUAUUGCCUCAAUUUCAGAGCCCGUUAUUGAUCUAUUCAGGGAUUCAACUUCUUCCCGGUUUAGUCUUGGGAGGGUGGAUGUGUUGGGGAAUUUAUCCAUUUCUUCUAGAUUUUCUAGUUUAUUUGCGUAGAGGUGUUUAUGGUAUUCUCUGAUGGUAGUUUGUAUUUCUGUGGGAUUGGUGGUGAUAUCCCCUUUAUCAUUUUUUUAUUGCGUGUAUUUGAUUCUUCUCUCUUUUCUUCUUUAUUAGUCUUACUAGCGGUUUAUCUAUUUUGUUGAUCUUUUCAAAAAACCAGCUCCUGGAUUCAUUGAUUUUUUGAAGGGCUUUUUGUGUCUCUAUCUCCUUCAGUUCUGCUCUGAUCUUAGUUAUUUCUUGCCUUCUGCUAGCUUUUGAAUGUGUUUGCUCUUGCUUCUCUAGUUCUUUUAAUUGUGAUGUUAGGGUGUCGAUUUUAGAUCUUUCCUGCUUUCUCUUGUGGGCAUUUAGUGCUAUAAAUUUCUCUCUACACACUGCUUUAAGUGUGUCCCAGAGGUUCUAGUAUAUUGUGUCUUUGUUCUCAUUGGUUUCAAAGAACAUCUUUACUUGUGCCUUCAUUUCGUUAUUUACCCAGUAGUCAUUCAGGAGCAGGUUGUUCAGUUUCCAUGUAGCUGCGUGGUUUUGAGUGAGUUUCUUAAUCCUGAGUUCUAAUUUGAUUGCACUGUGGUCUGAGAGACAGUUUGUUGUAAUUUCUGUUCUUUUACAUUUGCUGAGGAGUGCUUUACUUCCAACUAUGUGGUCAAUUUUGGAAUAAGUGCAAUGUGGUGCUGAGAAGAAUGUAUAUUCUGUUGAUUUGGCGUGGAGAGUUCUGUAGAUGUCUAUUAGGUCCACUUGGUGCAGAGCUGAGUUUAAGUCCUGGAUAUCCUUGUUAACUUUUUGUCUCGUUGAUCUAUCUAAUGUUGACAGUGGGGCGUUAAAGUCUCCCAUUAUUAUUGUGUGGGAGUCUAAGUCUCUUUGUAGGUCUCUAAGGACUUGCUUUAUGAAUCUGGGUGCUCCUGUAUUGGGUGCAUGUAUAUUUAGGAUAGUUAGCUCUUCUUGUUGUAUUGAUCCCAUUACCAUUAUGUAAUGGCCUUCUUUGUCUCUUUUGAUCUUUGUUGGUUGGUUUAAAGUCUGUUUUAUCCAAGACUAGGAUUGCAACCCCUGCUUUUUUUUUGUUUUCCAUUUUCUUGGUAGAUCUUCUUCCAUCCCUUUAUUUUGAGCCUAUGUGUGUUCUGCAUGUGAGAUGGGUCUCCUGAAUAUAGCACACUGAUGGGUCUUGACUGUUUAUCCAAUUUGCCAGUCUGUGUCUUUUAAUAGGGGCGUUUAGCCCAUUUACAUUUAAGGUUAAUAUUGUUAUGUGUGAAUUUGAUCCUGUCAUUAUGAUGUCAUUGCUCGUUAGUUGAUGCAGUUUCUUCCUAGCAUCAAUGGUCUUUACAAUUUGGCAUGUUUUUGCAGUGGCUGGUACUGGUUGUUCCUUUCCUUGUUUAGCGCUUCCUUCAGGAGCUCUUUUAGGGCAGGCCUGGUGGUGACAAAAUCUCUCAGCAUUUGUUUGUCUGUAAAGGAUUUUAUUUCUCCUUCACUUAUGAAGCUUAGUUUGACUGGAUAUGAAAUUCUGGGUUGAAAAUUCUUUUCUUUAAGAAUGUUGAAUAUUGGCCCCCACUCUCUUCUGGCUUGUAAAGUUUCUGCUGAGAGAUCCACUGUUAGUCUGAUGGGCUUUCCUUUGUGGGUAACCCAACCUUUCUUUCUGGCUGCCCUUAACAUUUUUUCCUUCAUUUCAACCUUGGUGAAUCUGACAAUUAUGUGUCUUGGGGUUGGUCUUCUCAAGGAGUGUCUUUGUGGCGUUCUCUGUAUUUCCUGAAUUUGAAUGUUGGCCUGCCUUGCUAGGCUGGGGAAGUUCUCCUGGAUAAUAUCCUGCAGAGUGUUUUCCAACUUGGUUCCAUUCUCCUCAUUACUUUCAGGUACACCAAUCAAAUGUAGGUUUGGUCUUUUCACAUAGUCUCAUAUUUCUUGGAGGCUUUGUUCAUUUCUUUUUACUCUUUCUUCUCUAAACUUCUCCUUUUCUUCAUUUCAUUCAUUUGAUCUUUAAUCACUGAUACCCUUUCUUCCACUUGAUCGGAUUGGCUCCUGAAGCUUGUGCAUGCGUCACAUAGUUUUUGUGCCAUGGUUUUCAGCUCCAUCAGGUCCUUUAAGGUCUUCUCUACGCUCUUUAUUCUAGUCAGCCAUUCGUGUAAUCUUUUUUCAAGGUUUUUAGCUUCUUUGCAAUGGGUUCGAACAUCCUUCUUUAGCUCGGAGAAGUUCGUUAUUACCGAUCUUCUGAAGCCUACUUCUGUCAACUCGUCAAAGUCAUUCUCCGUCCAGGUUUGUUCCAUUGCUGGUGAGGAGCUGUGAUCCUUUGGAGGAGAAGAGGCGCUCUGAUUUUUAGAAUUUUCAGCUUUUCUGCUCUGGAUUCUCCCCACCUUUGUGGUUUUAUCUACCUUUGGUCUUUGAUGAUGGUGUCCUACAGAUGGGGUUUUGGUGUGGAUGUCCUUUUUGUUGAUGUUGAUGCUAUUCCUUUCUGUUUGUUAGUUUUCUUUCUAACAGUCAGGUCCCUCAGCUGCAGGUCUGUUGGAUUUUGCUGGAGGUCCACUCCCGACCCUGUUUGCCUGGGUAUCAGCAGCAGAGGCUGCAGAACAGCAAAUAUUGCAGAACAGCAAAUGUUGCUGCCUGAUCCUUCCUCUGGAAGCUUCGUCUCAGAGGGUCACCCGGCUUUAUGAGGUGUCAGUCUGCACCUACUGGGAGGUGUCUCCCAGUUAGGAUACUCAGGGGGCAGGGGCCCACUUAAGGAAGCAGUCUGUCCGUUCUCAGAUCUCACACUCCGUUCUGGGAGAGCCACUACUCUCUUCAAAGCUGUCAGACAGGGACGUUUAAGUCUGCAGAAGUUUCUGCUGCCUUUUGUUCAGCUAUGCCCUGCCCCCAGAGGUGGAGUCUACAGAGGCACACAGGCCUCCUUGAGCUGUGGUGGGCUCCACCCAGUUCGAGCUUCCUGGCAGCUUUGUUUACAUAGUAAAGCCUCACCAAUGGCAGACACCCCUCCCCCAGCCUUGCUGCCACCUCACAGUCCAUUCUUGGACUGCUGUGCCAGCAGUGAGCAAGGCUCUGUGGGCAUGGGACCCACCAAACCAGGCAUGGAAUAUAAUCUCCUGGUGUGGCCUUUGCUAAGACCGUUGGAAGAGCGCAGUAUUAGGGUGGGAGUGUCCUGAUUUUCCAGGUACCAUCUGUCAUGGCUUCCCUUGGCUAGGAAAGGGAGUUCCCUGACCCCUUGAGCUUCCCAGGUGAGGCGAUGCCCUGCCCCGCUUCGGCUCACACUCCAUGGGCUGCACACACUGUCCAACAAGUCCCAGUGAGAUGAACCCGGUACCUCAGUUGGAAAUGCAGAAAUCACCCGUCUUCUAUGUCACUCACACUGGUAGCUGUCGACUGGAGCUGUUCCUAUUUGGCCAUUGUGGAACCAGUCCCUGUUACUUACUUUUAAUAAGGCAUUUAAAACUAAAAUUUUUCAUUGAGCACUGCUUUCAUAGCAUUCCACAAUGUUUGGUAUGUUUGGUUUUUUUAAAUUGUUUAGGUCAAAAUGUAUUCUAAUGUUUUUUGUAAUUUUUCAUUUAUUUAUAGUUUAUUUACAAGAGUGUUGCUUAAUUUCCAAAUAUUUAUGAAUUUUCCAGGUAACUUUUUCUUUUAAAAUAAUUAUAGGCUGGGUGCUGUGGCUCAUGCCUGUAAUCCCAGCACUUUGGGAGGUCAAAGCGGACAGAUUGCUUGAGCUCAGGAGUUUGAGACCAGCUGGGCAAUAUGGUGAAACAUUGUUUCUGAAAAAAUAAAAAAAAAAUUAGCCAGGUAUAGCAGCACACACCUAUAGUCCCAGCUACUCAGGAGGCUGAGAUGAGAGGAUUACUUGAACCCAGGAGGCAGAGGUUGCAGUGAGCCGAGAUCAUGCCGCUGCACUCCAGCCUGGGUGACAGAGCUAGACCCUGUCUCAAAUAAUAAUGAUAAUAAUAUCACAAGAAAUUACAAACAUAAUACACAGAAUUUCCAUGUAUCUUCACUCAGUUUCGUCCAAUGGUAAAAAUCUUACAUGACUAUAAUACAAUGUCAAAACAAGGACAUUGACAUUGGUGCAAUCCACAGGUAUAUAUUCAUAUUUCACCAGUUUUACAUGCAUUCAACUUGUAUGUAGGUGCAUAUAUAGUUCUAUGCAAUUUCAUCACAGGUGUAGAUUAGUGUAAUCACCACCACAAUCAAGAUGCAAAACUGUUCUAUCACAGUAAAAUUCCCUCAUGCUACCCCUCCAUAGUCAUACCCAUUCCCUUCUUCUCACCUGUCCCACAGCCCUGGCAAUCAAUCUAUUCUCCAUCUCUGUAAUUUUAUUAUUUCAAGAAUGUUAUAUAGGCCAGGCAUGGUGGCUCAUGCCUAUAAUCUCAGCACUAUGGGAGGUCAAGGCAGGAGGAUAACCUGAAGCCAGGAGUUUGACACCAGCCUGGGCAACAUACAGACCCUGUCUGUAUAUUAAAAAAUUAAAAAUAAAUAUUAAAAAAUUUAAGAAGAAUGUUAUAUAAAUAGAGUCACAUCAUAUAUAACCUUUGAGAUGGACUUUGUUUCACUCAGUAUAGUUCUCUUGAGAUUUAUCCAAGUGGUUUUGUGUAUCAGUAGUAAGUUUCUCUUUUAUCAUUGAGUAGUAUUCCAUGAUAUGGAUGUACCAUAAUUUGUUUACUUAUUCACCCACUGAAGAGAUUUGAAUUGUUCCAAUUUUGGGCUACUACAAACAAAUCUGCUAUAAAAAUUUAUGUGCACAUUUUUGUGUGCAUAUAAAUUUUCUUUUCUCUGAGAUAAAUGCCCAGGAAUGCAAUUACUAGGUCAUUUUGUAAUGUAGAUUUUUUUAAGACACUGAUAAACUAUUUGCCAGCAUAGCUGUACCAUUUAUUUAUUUACUUAUUUAUUAACUUUUAUUUUUUUAAGUUACUCAAGACUUUAUUCUCCUGUUAUUACUCCUCAGCUCAGUCACUCUUCUCUUCCCCACAAUUCCAAAACUAUGUUGCAGUUCUUUAAGGGUCAGCCCUCCUGAAGAGCUAUUUUCUUAUUCUGCCUACUUUGACUCUGUAAAAUUCCAACAGGCAAAAUAAAGGCUAAAAAAAUUUUUUUUGCCUUUACUCAUUUUCAAAAUCUGUCAAAUUCUCCUCAGCAGAAAAUUAAUUAUCCCUUUAACUAAUCAAUAUACAAGGAUGAAUGAGUAGUACUUUGGGUUACUUCCUUCUCUUCCUCCCUCUCUUCCAAAUAGACUGAGAUAAGGCUUCUCAGAACCAUGGGAUGUAUCAGCAGUAUAGAAAAGGGACAGUGCUGAAUGAGUCAGCACCCAGUUCCUCCUACCCAUUCCCUUCUAUACCAGCUGGUAGGCUCCCAUUUUAUAUUUCCCAUCGCAAUGCAUGAGAGAUCUAGUUUCUCUGCAUCCCUACUAGCAUUUUGUAUUGUCAUUAUUUUUAAUUUUAGAUGUUUAAAUAGGUGUGUAGUGCCAGGUAUCUUUUAAUUAUUGAUUUCUAAUUUAUUACUAUUUGGUCAGAAGAUACACUGUAUUAGAUUUUAAUUUUUUGUUUUUGUUGUUCAGAGAGGGUCUCAUUCUGUUGCCCAGGCUGAGUGCAAUGGUACAAUCAUGGCCUCAGACUUCCAAGUAGCUGGUACUACAGGCAUGUGCCACUGUGACCAGAUAAUUUUGGUAUUUUUUGUGGAGAUGGGAUCUUGUUAUAUUCUUCAGGCUGGUCUCGAACUCCUGGACUCAAGCAAUCCUCCUACUUCAGCCUCCUAAAGUACUGGGAUUACAGAUGUGAGCUACCAUGCCCAGCCAGAUUUUAAUUUUUAACAGUUAUUAAAACGUCUUUCAUUGCCCAGCAUAUAAUCCAUCUUAAUGAAUGUUUUAUGUGGGUUCAAAUACAAACAAAUGCGUAUUCUACAUUUGUGGUAACAUUUUAUAAAAUCAGUUGAGUCAAGUUGGUUGACAGUGUUGCUCAAAUAUAAUAUAUCUCUAUUGGUUUUUUGCCUAUUUGUCCUAUCAAUUACUGAGACAAGAGUCUUAAAAAUCACUCCAACUAUGAUUGUAGAUUUGUCCAUUUCUUUCUUUUCUUUUCUGUUUUCUUUCUAUUUUUUUUUUUAAGAUGGGAUCUCACUCUGUCACCCAGCCUGGGGUGCAGUGGUGCAAUCAUAGCUCACCAUAACUUCAAACUCGUAGGCUCAAGCGAUCCUCCCACAUCAGACUCCCAGGUAGUUGGGACUACAGGCAUGUACCACUAUUCACAGCUAAUUGUUUUUUUUUUUUUUUUUAUGUUUUGUAGAGACAGAGUCUCACUGUUUUGCACAGGCUGGUCUUGAACUCCUAGCCUCAAGUGGGAUUCUCCCACCUCAGCCUCCCAAGGUACUGGGAUUAGAGUGUGAGCCACCAUACCCAGUCAAUUUGUCUGUUUCUGUCAAAUUUUGCUUUUGCAUUUUGGGACUCCAUUCUUUUUUUUUUUUUUUUUUUUUUUUUUUGAGACGGAAUUUUGGUUUUGUUGCCCCAGCUGGAGUACAAUGGCAUGAUCUUGGCUCACGGCAACCUCCACCUCCCAGGUUCAAGUGAUUCUCCUGCCUCAGCCUCCUGAGUAGCUGGGAUUACAGGCAUGCGCCACCACACCUGGCUAAUUUUGUAUUUGUAGUAGAGACAGGGUUGCUCCAUGUUGUUCAGGCCGGUCUUGAACUCCCGACCUCAGGUGAUCCACCCACCUCAGCAUCUUAAAGUGCUGGGAUUACAGGCAUGAGCCACCGCACCCGGCUGGAAGUCCGUUCGUAAUUGCAUACACACUUAGUAUUGAUAGAUCCUUUUGAUGAGUUUCUCUUUUAUCAUUAAUACUUUUCCUCUUUAUCUCUAGUAAUAUAAUUAUUCUGAAGCCUAUCUUAAUAUUAAUAUAACCACACCUGCUUUUUUAUACUUAAUGUUUGUGUGGUAUAUUUUUUCUACCCUUGUGCUUUCAAACUAUGACUUUUUAUAUUGUAUUUAUUUUAUUCUGUUUUUUAGAGACAGGGUCUCACUCUGUUGCCCAGGCUGGAGUGCAGUGGUGAGAUCACAGCUCACUGUAACCUUGAACUUCUGGGUUCAAGCAAUCCUCCUGCCUCAGCCUCACAAGUAGCUGGAACUUCAGGCGUGUCUCACCACAGCCCUGAAAUGGGGUCUUGCUGUGUUGCCCAGGAUGGUCUCAAACUCCUGGCCUCAAGCAGUUCUCCUGCCUUGGCCUCAAAGUGCUGGAAUUACAGGCGUGAGCCACUGUACCUAGCCUUAAACUAUGUCCUUAUAAUUUUGUAUUUGUCAAGAUCAUAUUGUUGGAUCUUACUUUUAUAUUAAUCUGACAAUCUCUGCCUUUUAAGUGUUUAAUAUGUUUAUAUUUGAUAUAAUUACUAAUCUGAGUUAAUUCUCCCAUAUUGGUAUUAUUUUCUACUUAUGCCUUUUAUUCUUUGUUUCUGCUUCUACUUUCUUGCCUCAUUUUUGGUAUACUGCAUUCUUUUUAAUUAAUUUUUUUUUUGAAAUGGGGUCGUACUAUGUUGCCCAGGCUGGUCUUGAACUCCUGGCCUCAAGUGAUACUCCCAUGUCAGCCUCCCAAAGUCUUGGGAUUACAGGCAUGAGCCACUGUGCCCAGCCCAUAUUGCAUUUUUAUUUUUAUUUAUGUAUUUUUUGUUUUGAGAUGGUGUCUCACUCUAUUGCCUAGGCUGGAGUGCAGUGGCACGGUCUCUGCUCAAUGCAACCUCUGCGUCAUGGUUUCAAGCAAUUCACAUGCCUCAGCCUCCCCCGUAGCUGGGAUUACAGGUGUGUGCCACCACACCCAGCUAAUUUUUCCUAUUUGUGGUAGAGUUGGAGUUUCACUGUGUUGGCCAGGCUGGUCUCAAACUCCUGGCCUCAAGUGAUCCACCCACCUCAGCCUCCCAAAGUGCUGGGAUUACAGGCAUGAGCCACAACACCUAGCCCCUUUUUGCAUUUUUUAAUCAUUCCAUUUUAUCUCUUGUUUUUAGCUGUAUUUCUCGUGGUGUAUUUUUAGUGGCUGUUCUAGAGCAGUGGUUCUUAAACUUUACAUACAUUAGAAACACCUAGUGCUUUUAUUAAAACAUAGAUUUCUGGGCCGUACUCCUAGAGCUCCUUAUCUAGUAGGUCUGUGAUAUUGCUCAAAAAUAUUCAUUUCUAGUAAGUUUUCAGAUGAUGCUGGUGGUAUAAGUCUGGGAACUACAUUUUGAGAACCACUAUUCUAGAAAUUAUUCUCUGCAUUUACCUUCAAAUAGUAUACUAAAAAAAAUUAUUAUACAACUUCACAGAUAGUGCAAGAACUUUACAACAGUAUAAUUCUAUUUCUUCCCCCACCAACAUUUUGUGCUCUUAUUAUCUGACAUUUUACUCUUUAUUCCCAAAUAUGUAAUAAACCUCACAAUAUAUUGGUUUUUUGCUUUAAACAAUCAAUUAUCUUUUCAAAUAUUAUAUACACACACAUACACAAAUAGAUAUAUAAAUAUUUCUUUGUAAAAGACCUUUAACAUAGUUUUUUUGUUUUUUUGUUUUUUUUUUUUUUUUUGAGACAGAGUUUAGCUCUUGUCACCCAGGCUGGAGUGCACUGGCGCGAUCUCAGCUCACCACAACCUCUGCCUCCCGGGUUCAAGCAAUUCUUUUGCCUCAGCCUCCUGAGUAGCUGGGAUUACAGGCAUGCACCACCACACCCGGCUAAUUUUUCUAUUUUUAGUAGAGACAGGGUUUCUCCAUGCUGGUCAGGCUGGUCUUGAAAUCCCGUCCUCAGGUGAUCCACCUGCCUCAGCCUACCAAAGUGCUGGGAUUACAGGCGUGAGCCACCACACCUGGCCUUUUUUUUUUUUUUUUUUUCUCUUUGAGAUGGAGUCUGUCUGUCACCCAGGCUGGAGUGCAGUGGCAUGAUCUCGGCUCACUGCAAACUCCGCCUCCUGGGUUUAAGCCAUUCUCAUGCCUCAGCCUCCUGGGUAGCUGGGAUUACAUGUGCACACCAUGAUGCCCAGCUAAUUUUUAUAUUUUCAGUAGAGAUGAGGUUUCACCAUGUUGGCCAGGCUGGUCUCUAAGUCCUGACCUCAAGUGAUCCACCUGCCUUGGCCUCCCAAAAUGCUGGGAUUACAGGCGUGAGCCACCACACCUGGCUGUAUCCAUUUUUUAAAACGUUUUCUGGGAGUCUUAAAUUCUUCCUACAGAUCUGAGUUUCCUUCUGCUAUCUUUUCUGUUCAGUCAGAAAAACUUAUGCCAGCUUUUCUUGUAGCAUGGGUCCAAUGGAGAUGAAUCUUCCCAAUUUUUACCUGUCUGAAAAUGACUUUAUUUCACCUUUUUUUUUUUUUUUUUUUUUUUGAGACAGAGUCUCGCUCUGUUGCCCGGGCUGGAGUGCAGUGGUGCAGUCUCAGCUCACUGCAACCUCCACCUACCAGGUUCAAGCGAUUCUCCUGCCUCAGCCUCCUGAGUAGCUGGGAUUACAGGCACCUGCCAUCAUGCCCAGCUAAUUUUUUGUAUUUGUAGUAGAGACGGAGUUUCACCAUGUUGGCCAGGCUGGUCUCAAACUCCUGACCUCGUGAUCCGCCUGCCUCGGCCUCCCAAAGUGCUGGGAUUACAGCUUUGAGCCACCGUGCCUGGCCUUCACCUUCAUUUUUAAAGUAUCUUUUCACUGGCUAUAGAAUUCUAGUUUGACAGUGUUUUUCUUUUAGCACUUUAAAGAUGUUCUAUUGUCUUCUGGCCUCCAUCGAUUCUAGUGAAAAGUCAUCUGUUAUUUCUAUCAUUAUUCCCUUAUAUUUAUGUAUUUUUCCCCCCUUUGAUUGCUUUUCAGAUUUACCACUUACCGCUGCUUUUCAGCAGUUUGGCUGUGAUUUGUUUAGGUGCUGCUUUUUCCUUAUUUAUUCUCCUUGUGGGUGCGUUAAGGUUCUUGGUUCUCCUCCCACCCCCAACUCUCCCCUGACACACAACGUGGAUGUGGAACUUCUUGAUUCUAUGAGUUGAGAUCUUCAAUCAAUUUUGGUAAGUCUUGACCAAUAAAGCUUUAAUGAUUUCUUCUGCCAUGCUGUCCCUGUUCUCUUAUUUUUGGGAUUCCAUUUGCACAUAUGUUGGGUUGUUUGAAAUUAACCCAAAUACUGUCAGAUGCUCAGUUUCCUCUGCUGUUGAGUCUGCUACUAAGCUGCUACUAAUGAAUUUAUUUUUGAUAUUGUGUUUUUCAUUUUUAGCAUUUCCAUAUGGUUCUUUUUUUCUAGUUUCCACCACUUUUUUGAAAUUCCCCAUCUCUUCAUGAAUGUUGUCCUCUUUUCCAUGAGGUCCUUUAACAUUUUUAUAUUAUAGAUGUUUUUUAUUUUAAUAUCUCAGUCUGAUAAUUUUAACUUUUAAGCUAGCUCUGGAUCUGAUUCUAUUGAUUAUUUUCUAUCUUAACCAUGAGACCUAUUUUCUUGCUUUUUCACAGACCUUGAAAUUUUUUAUUGCACACUGAAUACUUUGAAAUAAAAGUAGAAUGAAUACAAAAUAAAUAAUAUUUACCUCCAAAAAAAAGAAAAGAGCAAGCCCCUUCUGCAAGGAGCUGAGUCUAUCUGAUCUGUAAUUGAUCUGGGUCUGGGCAUUGUUGUAGCUUUAGUUUAAUUCCGUUCACAACUGUUCUCAAUGUUUUGAGGGUGGGAUUAGGACUUUGUCUUCAGCAGAACUGGGUAUCUGAGCACUGGUGAGAUUCUUGAGAUCGGCUUUUAUUUCAAAAGUGAGCUGACAGACUUCAGAACUGUGGGGGAUCGCAGCCUGCUUUACAGCCCAGCUGAUAGCUUUUUGAUUUCUCGUUGCCCUUUGCUUCCCUGCUUUCUGUACCUCUGGAGAAGUCUCUCAGCCCUUUGGCUCCUCACUGGCUCUAGAAACUUUCUAGACUCUAUGAAGGCCCAAAACACCUCAAGGAGUUUCCCCUAGCCAUUUUUUUCUUCCCCCAGCUUUGGUGAACUAUUCCCAGCAUGAUGUGAAGACUCUCGGGAAAGAGGAGGCAGGCAGGUGCAGACUCCCUCUGUGGCUGGGGCUCCUCCGCCCACAGGCAGCCAUUCCAAGCUUGUUAAAAUUGCAGCUGAGUUCUCAUCCCUGCUGUUCACAGACUCGUCUUCCUUCUGCCAUUCCCCCAGAGGUGACAAUGACCAUGAGUCUCUCCUUUCAUAUGUGGAGCUUGUCACUUGCUUGAGUUUGGUUCAUUUAGGUUUCUUUGCUCCCUCAGUUCUCUGAUGGGUUUUAAAAAUCAAAGAUUAUUUUGAGCUUACCUGUCUUGUUUUGGUUGAUAAGGUACAAAUAGUCUCACGUAACCCUGUACAUCUGGUAGAAAUCCCCCAGAUAACUGCCUCUUACUAGCAAUGAAAAGGUAUGUAGGAAUCAGAAGAAAGCAAUCAAUCACAUAGGAAUUGAAAACUUUAAAGCCGAAGCCAGUGCAGAGAUUAAAAAAAAAUAGACGCUGGUAAAGGUUUGCAUCGUAGUCUAUCAAACAAAUGCCGAGGUGCUAAUCACACACACACACACACACACACACACACACACACGCACUCGCCCAAAGACUAAGGCAAAGAAGAGAUGAUCUGUGCACCUUGCAAGUGACAUUUAUUUUCUGAGAUUGGAUAGAAUGCAUAGUGCACUAAAAUGUGUUGUGUUUUAUUUGGGUGAUUGCCUACUUCCUACUCUGUCUCUUAGGGUAGUGAGUCUCACAUUUUACUCUGCAUCUGAAUCACCUGGGCAUCUUGUUAAAAUUCAAAUUCUCUCUUAGUAGGCCUGGGGUUGGGCUCGAGAUUCUAUAUACAUUUCUAACAAUUAGAUAAUCCUAAUGGUAUAUGACCAGCACGGUCCUAGAGUAUAUACACCUUUAUUUUUAGGUGGGUCAUAGCAAUGAAACUUAAUCAUUUGUGCUAAGGUGAGUUUACAGUAUAAAGGAAACAGGAAAUAUUUAAAAACUGAAUUAACUAAAUAAAAUCAACAAUCUGAAAACUCCCAAGAAGUAGCCAGAAUGUGGCUUAUAGUCAUGCAAGGUGCAGAGAAAAGUGACAUUUCAGUGUUGAGGAAAUCCAGUGAGAGGCAGACCUAUAAUUCAUCAAGCUGGCUUCUCUGGGGGUGGUUUAGUUUUUCUUGAAGUGGGUAGCUGCCAUUCUGGGAGCUGGGGCUGAAACGGGUAUUCAUUGCCAUUCAGAACCAGGCCUUUGACAGCUCUGCUGUCUCACAUCUGCUGAGGGCAUCAAGCACCGGUUCAGUAGGGAAAGAAGGAUGGGGAAAGGCUGUGGGGAGAGAGGUUGGGUAACAUUAGGGAGAUGCCAAGAAUCUGGCUAUUCAAGACAGUGUUCACAGCACCAACAAUUGCAGAAAACAUUCAUUGAGUGGUUGUAAAUUAGCACUUGAAUCCCACUAUCCUCUUUUUCAACUGCCAAAUUUGUUUGUUUUUCACCAGAAGAGACUUAGUGAUUGGAAUUUUGUAAUUGUGAUAUUAGCUAUUGGUCCUGCAUUCAUCACAGAACUAAUUAAUGCACCCAUAGAAGAGAAAAUAAAUUCCCCAUCAUUUUCUGGGCUUAGCAAGGCAGUACAAAUUUCCAACAGAUGUGAGUAGGGCACAGGCCACCUUGUUAGGAAGAAAGCAAGGGAAAUGAUUAUAAAUCCACUAAAGGUAAAGAUUUAAUUUAAUAAAACUUUACCACUCAAAGAAA